rnacentral:rRNA from 1 species
GACGAACGCUGGCGGCGUGCUUAACACAUGCAAGUCGAACGAAGAGGCCUAGCUUGUGCGGUGGUUUAGUGGCGAACGGGUGAGUGAUACGCGAGUGACCUACCUUUCUCUCUGGGAUAAGCCUGGGAGAGAGGGCCUAAUACAGGCUACGACAAAUCUUCGCCCGGGGUGUUGGUGGGAAACGGUCGGGAGUGGUUUUAGCUGGUGGCUCGGCCUAUCCGCUUGUGGGGGAGGUAAUGGCUAACGAAUGCGACGGCUGGUAGGCGGCCUUGGAGGGUGACCGGCCACAAUGGGACUGCGGCACGGCCCAGUCUCCUACGGGAGGCAGCGGUGGGGAAUAUUACACAGUGGGGGCAAGCCUGAUGCAGCGACGCCGCGUGCGUGAUGACGGCCUUCGGGUUGUAAACCACUGUGUGCGUCGAUGAAGCGAAAGUGACGGUAGGUGCAGAGAAAGCGCCGGCUAACUACGUG